GGUCGGGUUUGGGUCUGGAUCCGGGUCAGAAUCUGGGUAGGAUUACAAUGGCAUAGGUUAGUAAAUAUGUUUAAAUUAUUAGGUCACAUGGUCUUUUCUCCCUAAUUUUCAUUUAUUUUUAAUUCAUUUUUAAAAUAAAAAUCCAAGGGGUCUAUACCAGAUUUUUUUGACCCCCUGUGGUCUAUUCUAGCAUUUGAUCCUGAAAUAAUGAUCAUUUUUUUUACUGAAAUAAUGAUGUUGAUUAGCUUAUUAACUGCUGAUAUGAUAAGGAUUAUUUCUAGUCCUAAGUCAAAUCAAUGUCGUAUUUUAGAUUCAAUCCAAUUCUAAGUGGUUUCAAUACAAAGAAAAUAUAGCUUCAUACUUAAUCUAAGUGCAUUCAGUGUAAUAAUGUGAUUUG
rnacentral:lncRNA from 1 species